rnacentral:rRNA from 1 species
GACGAACGUUGGCGGCGUGCUUAAUACAUGCAAGUCAACUGAAGCAGUGGUAGCAAUAUCGCUGUGGAGGUGGCGCACGGGUGAGUAACACGUAGGUAAUCUGCCUUCAGGUCUGGCAUAACUCCGGGAAACCGGGGCUAAUAGCAGAUGAUGCAGCGGCUCGACAUCGAGACAGUUGUUAAAGCUAUGGCGCCUGAAGAUGAGCCUGCGUCUGAUUAGCUAGUUGGCGGGGUAACGGCCCACCAAGGCAACGAUCAGUAGCUGGUCUGAGAGGAUGAUCAGCCACACUGGAACUGAGACACGGUCCAGACUCCUACGGGAGGCAGCAGUAAGGAAUAUUGCUCAAUGGGAGAAAUCCUGAAGCAGCAACGCCGCGUGAGGGACGAAGGGCUUUGGCUUGUAAACCUCUGUAGUGAGAGAAAAAAAUCACAAUCUUUGGGACAUGAUGGUAUCUCAAAAGUAAGCCCCGGCUAACUACGUG